AACGCUAGCUACAGGCUUAACACAUGCAAGUCGAGGGGAAACGACAUCGAAAGCUUGCUUUUGAUGGGCGUCGACCGGCGCACGGGUGAGUAACGCGUAUCCAACCUGCCCACCACUUGGGGAUAACCUUGCGAAAGUAAGACUAAUACCCAAUGAUAUCUCUAGAAGACAUCUGAAAGAGAUUAAAGAUUUAUCGGUGAUGGAUGGGGAUGCGUCUGAUUAGCUUGUUGGCGGGGUAACGGCCCACCAAGGCAACGAUCAGUAGGGGUUCUGAGAGGAAGGUCCCCCACAUUGGAACUGAGACACGGUCCAAACUCCUACGGGAGGCAGCAGUGAGGAAUAUUGGUCAAUGGACGAGAGUCUGAACCAGCCAAGUAGCGUGCAGGAUGACGGCCCUAUGGGUUGUAAACUGCUUUUAUAAGGGAAUAAAGUGAGUCUCGUGAGACUUUUUGCAUGUACCUUAUGAAUAAGGACCGGCUAAUUCCGUGCCAGCAGCCGCGGUAAUACGGAAGGUCCGGGCGUUAUCCGGAUUUAUUGGGUUUAAAGGGAGCGUAGGCCGGAGAUUAAGCGUGUUGUGAAAUGUAGAUGCUCAACAUCUGCACUGCAGCGCGAACUGGUUUCCUUGAGUACGCACAAAGUGGGCGGAAUUCGUGGUGUAGCGGUGAAAUGCUUAGAUAUCACGAAGAACUCCGAUUGCGAAGGCAGCUCACUGGAGCGCAACUGACGCUGAAGCUCGAAAGUGCGGGUAUCGAACAGGAUUAGAUACCCUGGUAGUCCGCACGGUAAACGAUGGAUGCCCGCUGUUGGUCUGAAUAGGUCAGCGGCCAAGCGAAAGCAUUAAGCAUCCCACCUGGGGAGUACGCCGGCAACGGUGAAACUCAAAGGAAUUGACGGA
rnacentral:rRNA from 1 species